AUGAUUAAACAAAGAAUCCAAGGAUGGAUGGGAAAACAAUUAUCAGUUGGAGGUAAAGAAAUUCUUCUUAAAGCUGUGGCACAAGCUAUUCCUGUUUUUGCUAUGUUUGUCUUUUGUCUACCAAAAGGUAUUUGCAAGGAAAUCACAGAUAUUAUUGCUAGUUUCUGGUGGGGAGAUGAUGAGGAAAAUAAGAAAAUGCAUUGGUAUUCUUGGUGGAAAUUGUGUUACCCAAAGAGUGAAGGUGGUAUGGGCUUCAGAGAUCUAUACUCGUUUAAUUUGGCAAUGCUAGCUAAGGAAUGUUGGAGACUUAUUACUUCACCUGAGUCACUUUGUGCACGAGUUCUUAAGGCAAAAUACUUUCCAAAUGGAGGCCUCUUACAAGCAUCUCUAAAAAAUGGGGCUUCGUUCACUUGGCAAAGCAUCAUGAAAGGUCUUGAAGUGUUUAAAAAAGGCUAUAUUUGGAGAGUGGGCAAUGGGAAUGAAAUCAACAUAUGGUCGGAUCCAUGGAUUCCUUCUAGUCCCAAUAGAAUGAUCAUCACGCCCAGAGGUCAAGCAGUUGUAUCGGUGGUGAGUGACUUGAUUGAUCCUCACACAGGACUUUGGGACGAACAACUCAUUAAUAUGAUUUUUAAUCCCGUCGAUGCUCGAAGGAUUCUGCAAAUCCCCUUAAGUCUUCAUGCCUUUGACGAUUUCAUCGCAUGGCACCCCGAUAAAAAAGGGAUGUUCUCCAUUCGAACAGCUUGUCGAAUCCAAUGGUUACAUAAAUUUGGGGCGCAUGCAAAUGACACCAGCCGAUCGGGAGGUUUUGCUACUCCAGCGGUAUGGAGUAAUUAUGGAAGCUGCAAAUUCCUCGUAAAGUUUUCAAUAUUUUGCCCGCGUUUACUGCACGGAAUUCUACCCCUAAAAGGUAUACUCGCUAAUAGACACGUUGGGGCAAUUGGAGGGUGCCCAAUUUGCCACCAGAGCUCUGAAGAUAUUCGCCAUCUAUUCUUCACGUGUAUUCACUCAAUAGGUAUGUGGAGCCGACUUGGAUUGACAGAUUUUAUCAACACCGCAACAAAUGUUGAUAGAUCUGGGUCGGUUAUUAUGGAGUAUAUCUUGUCUAUUGAUCGGACGCCACUACCUCUAAUGUCGACAUUGGAGAUUAAACAUGUAGUAGUGGUGGGAUGUUGGUAUCUCUGGUGGACACGCCGCCUUAUAACACAUAAUGAGAGUUGCCUGCAGGUGGUAAGAUGGCCUUUGUCGGUCUUGGCAAUUACAAGCAACUAUCAACGAGCCAUGGAGAAGAUAGUUGUGACAGAAGAGGAAAGAUGGUUGAAGCCAGACCCAAAGUUCAUCAAACUUAAUGUGGACGCGACCUUUUUUGCGGAGGAAGGAGUUGGAGCCACGGCAGCAAUUAUUAGAGAUGAACGAGGUAUUUUCCUUGCAGCUCAAUGUAAGUUUAUCCCAUAUGUAGCGGACACAAUGACAUCAGAGGCAAUGGCGAUGAGAGAUGGACUGCACUUGGCAAAUAGCCUAGGGUUCCAGCGAGUUGAAGCGGAAUCCGACUCUCUAACGGUGAUCAACUGUUGCUCCGGUCAGAGUACUUGGUGGGACGCAGCGGCAGCGAUAUUCACGGAAUGUGUGGACAUCUCUACCUUGAUUGAGAAGGUCAACUUUAAGCAUUGUUUUCGAUCGGCAAAUCAAGCGGCGCAUGUGCUAGCUAAUUUUAGUUAUUGUAAUAAACUUUCUUCUAGUUGGACAGACGAGCCUCCGGAUUGUCUGGUGAGCAAGCUCGUAGAUGAUGUAUCUUCAUGUGUUAAUCAAUAA
rnacentral:rRNA from 1 species